rnacentral:lncRNA from 10 species
UUUCCAUGCUGGCUAUCUCCCUUGCCCUUCUUUGCCUCCUCAGCUAUUCCGGGAUUCCUUCUUCAGCCCUCUACCUUUCACAUUCCACACCCCCUUGAGAGACUGCAACCUCUCCCAGUUUCAGUUCCAACAACUACAAAUUCUGUCUCCAGACCCAAAAUUCUAUCUGCCAUUGGCAUCUCUAUGUGGAUGUCCAAACCUAAACGCCUAAUCUCCAUCGUGUUCCCCUCCCCACACCACCCAUUCCUCCCUUGCAGGCCCCAUCCACUUUGUCAUUCUAACCAGAAGUCUUGGUGCUUCUUGAAUCUUCUCUCUCCCUCCAUCAUAUCCAGUGAGUUACCAAACUCAAGUUCCCCCGAGCUGUCUCCUCUGGGACUAUGCAGCUCUGGGACUACAAUAUCCCCAAAUGCUCUCCUCUCCACACCGCUCUCAGUGAGUGUUCCAAAAUGCAAUCCAAUCCUCUUUCUCUCCUGUUUAAUAUAUCACUCAGAAAAUAACGUCCAGGCCUGACACUGUGGCUCACACCUGUAAUCCCAGCACUUUGGGAGGCAGAGGCAGGUGGAUCACCUGAGGUCAGAAGUUCAAGACCAGCCUGGCCAACAGGUGAAACCAAGUCUCUACUAAAAACACAAAUAUUAGCCAGGUGUGGUGGCAGAUGCCUGUAAUCCCAGUUACCUAAGAGGCUGAGGCAAGAGAAUCCCUUGAACCUGGGAGGCAGAGAUUGCAGUGAGCCGAGACUGCGCCACUGCACUCCAGCCAAGGCAACAGAGUAAGACUCCAUCUGAACAAUAAAACAAGAAAAUAAUGUCCAAAAUGUUUAGAAAUAUUUUAAGACCUGGGCAGGUGCAGUGGCUCACGCCUGUAAUCCCAGCUCUUUGGGAGGCCGAGGCGGGCGGAUCACAAGGUCAGGAGAUCAAAACCAUCCUGGCUAACACAGUGAAACCCCAUCUCUACUAAGAAUACAAAAAAUUAGCCAGGCAUGGUGGCACGCACCUGUAGUCCCAGCUACUUGGGAGGCUGAGGCUGAGGCAGGAGAAUCACUUGAACCUGGGAGGUGGAGGUUGCAGUGAGCCAAGAUUGAGCCACUGCCCUCCAGCCUGGGCAACAAAGCAAGACUC